rnacentral:rRNA from 1 species
UGCUCUCGAUGGUAGUGUAUUGGACUACCAUGGCAGUCACGGGUAACGGAGAAUUAGGGUUCGAUUCCGGAGAAGGAGCCUGAGAAACGGCUACUACAUCUAAGGAAGGCAGCAGGCGCGUAAAUUACCCAAUCCUAAAUCAGGGAGGUAGUGACAAGAUAUAACAACGCGAUUAAAUGUCGCGAUUGUAGUGAGGGUAUUCUAAAAAUAGCUUCGAGUACGAUUGGAGGGCAAGUCUGGUGCCAGCAGCCGCGGUAAUUCCAGCUCCAAUAGCGUAUAUUAAAGUUGCUGCAGUUAAAAAGCUCGUAGUUGAACUUCAUGAGCAGUAGGUAGCUUACUACCUGCUCUCUACCAGUCUUUCGACUGUUACUGUGAGAAAAUUAGAGUGUUUCAAGCAGGCUAUUGCAGGAAUACAUUAGCAUGGAAUAACGAAUGUACCUACAAUUUGGUUAAUUGUAGAUUACUAUUAAUAGGGACAGUU